GAAAGAUUUGACCCCACGCUUAUGUUUUUCAGAAAAGAUAUCCACUGAACAAAUCAUCUGAAAACUAAGGCUAAUAGGGGAGGAUGAAGAAUACUUCUGUUAAAAGGUCAAUCCAACUUGAACUUGAAGUGCAAGUGGGUCUUCAAAAAUGUGGACCACUCAAGGACUUUUCUGUUGGUUGAUGAUGGACUACAAACUGAAUAUUUAACAAAAAAAUCCACUUUGGUGCUUAUUGGCUACUAAUGAUGUGAACUUGUGCAUUUCUUAUAACAAGUACUUUUACAUUUCCUUGAUGAUACUAGACUUGUGUAUACCAAAUUCAGGUUUAGUUGAUUGAUUGAAGUUCUAAGUUCCUCUCGCAACAUUAUAUCUCUCAUGUAUGAGACAUCAUUAAAUGCAGACAUUUUCUCUGUCCUCCUGUUGUGACAUGAGAGCUCGGACUUAGUUGUAAAAAUAUUUAUGAUGCAAGAGAAAAUAAAUGGCCAAGCCAAUGUUUGUAAAUGUUGAUAAUA